AAUCAACGCUGGCGGCGUGCCUCAGACAUGCAAGUCGAACGCGAAAGUCCCCUUCGGGGGACAAGUAGAGUGGCGCACGGGUGAGUAACACGUAGGUAAUCCACCUUCGGAUGGGGAAUAACAACCGGAAACGGUUAGCUAAUACCGCAUAAUGCAGCGGCACCUAAUGGUGACAGUUGUUAAAGCGGGGGAGUCGAAAGACCUCGCGUCUGAAGAGGAGCCUGCGGCGGAUUAGCAGUUGGUAAGGUAACGGCUUACCAAGGCGACGAUCCGUAGCCGGCCUGAGAGGGCGGUCGGCCACACUGAUACUGACAUACGGGUCAGACUCCUACGGGAGGCAGCAGUCGGGAAUUUUGGGCAAUGGGCGAAAGCCUGAUCCAGCAACGCCGCGUGAAGGAU
rnacentral:rRNA from 1 species